rnacentral:rRNA from 1 species
UCCGUAGGUGGAUAAUUAAGUCAGAGGUGAAAGUCUGCAGCUCAACUGUAGAAUUGCCUUUGAUACUGGUUAUCUUGAGUUAUUAUGAAGUAGUUAGAAUAUGUAGUGUAGCGGUGAAAUGCAUAGAUAUUACAUAGAAUACCAAUUGCGAAGGCAGAUUACUAAUAAUAUACUGACACUGAUGGACGAAAGCGUGGGGAGCGAACAGGAUUAGAUACCCUGGUAGUCC